UUAAUAUCAAUAUGCUAAAGCCAAAUCAAUUGCUGACAAUCCAUGAGACGAGAAGUAUGUAAAUAAGAAAGCUUGAAACAAAAUGGUAAUUGAUAGAGAAUGUCAUUCCAGUGUAAUUUGGUAAUGCAUGUCCUUUACGGGAAAUUUUGUAGGCAACUAUGGUUGGUUUUGGAACUUGUGGUCCUCAAACCCUGGAACCCAAAUCACUGAUAGCUAGAUUCAAGGGGAUUUGGGGACUUUUCAGGUUAAGUAGGUCAUUGGAACAAGAGACAUAGGAACAAACUACUAUUUUAGGGAUGGAGGAUUAGUCAAAUCAAAUUGACAGGAACAACUGAACUCUUUUCCUCUUAUUCCGCCUGAAACAACUACUCCACUCCCUGAUUUAUCAAACUGUUUGGAAACUAUCUUGACUUCUUGCUUCAUCUAUGAAAUACCCUGUUCAUGGAACUCGUUCUGCUUCAUCAAUGAAAGUAUGCUAGGGGUUGUUGCUUGGUCACUAGAUUUCUGCUGUUUUCUGCUGGACCACACUCUAAUCUUGACCUCCAAUCGAGCUUCAAGCACGAGUAGAUAGAGAUGCUCUUAUCAUGUUUUGGCUGAAAAGCAAAGCCUAAGUCCUCUAUUGGAUGUCAUUUCAUCCACACUUCUAUUAUUUGUAGAGAAAGGUCACUUCAACCCCCCUUUUGCCAGCAUGGCAGACUCGGGUUUUUCCCAAACUACACAUAGAUCAUUAUGCUUCUAAAAUAUCGCAAUUUAUGUAUAACUAAUAUAUGACAUUUUGCUCAUAUUCUUUUACACUGUAUAGUGACUAGAGCCCUUUGGGAUAUUAUUUUUGGGUUGAUAGAUGUUAAGUGGGUCCUCCCAGAAACUGUAAAGGAGACUUUAAUCUCCUGGAGGGGCUCAUUUGUAGGGAAGAAAAGGAAAAAGAUUUGGAAAUCCAUUCCGUUAUGUAUUUUUUGGACGGUUUGGAGGGAGAGGAAUAGGUUAGCUUUUAGGGGGGGUGAGUUGAAUAUUCAGAAAUUAAAGUAUUCUUUUGUCUGUAACUUGUGGAAUUGGGCCAAAGUGUAUCUAGGUGAGGAGUCUUUCUCCCUCAUAGGUUUUUUGGAGUGGAUAGCUUCCACUUAAGGGAAGGUAGUUUCUUUCUGGUCCUUUUUCUUUUUGAGGCUUUAGCCGCCUUGUAUACUCCCUGUAUGCUUUGUGGCGUUUAGCCCGUUCUUUAAUAUAUAUCUUGCUUACUUAUCAAAAAAAAAAAAAAAAUAUAUGACAUUUUGCCUGCAGAUUCUUAGGGUCCUCAUUACAAUUUUGGACACGUCCAGUGACCCAAGGGCGCUGGCUGUAGCGUGCUUUGAUCUGUCACAGUUCAUUCAAUACCAUCCAGCAGGGAGGGUCAUUGUAAACGAUCUCAAGGCGAAGGAGCGGGUGAUGAAACUGAUG
rnacentral:lncRNA from 1 species